rnacentral:rRNA from 1 species
GAUUCAUGGCUCAGAACGAACGCUGGCGGCACGCCUAACACAUGCAAGUCGAGCGCACCUUCGGGUGAGCGGCGGACGGGUUAGUAACGCGUGGGAACAUACCCAACACUACGGAAUAGCCUUUGGAAACGAAGAGUAAUACCGUAUACGCCCUUCGGGGGAAAGAUUUAUCGGUGAUGGAUUGGCCCGCGUUAGAUUAGAUAGUUGGUGGGGUAACGGCCUACCAAGUCUACGAUCUAUAGCUGGUUUGAGAGGAUGAUCAGCAACACUGGGACUGAGACACGGCCCAGACUCCUACGGGAGGCAGCAGUGGGGAAUCUUAGACAAUGGGCGCAAGCCUGAUCUAGCGAUGCCGCGUGAGUGACGAAGGCCUUAGGGUCGUAAAGCUCUUUCGCCAGGGAUGAUAAUGACAGUACCUGGUAAAGAAACCCCGGCUAACUCCGUGCCAGCAGCCGCGGUAAUACGGAGGGGGUUAGCGUUGUUCGGAAUUACUGGGCGUAAAGCGCGCGUAGGCGGACUAUUAAGUCAGGGGUGAAAUCCCGGGGCUCAACCCCGGAACUGCCUUUGAUACUGGUAGUCUAGAGUUCGAGAGAGGUGAGUGGAAUUCCAAGUGUAGAGGUGAAAUUCGUAGAUAUUUGGAGGAACACCAGUGGCGAAGGCGGCUCACUGGCUCGAUACUGACGCUGAGGUGCGAAAGUGUGGGGAGCAAACAGGAUUAGAUACCCUGGUAGUCCACACCGUAAACGAUGAAUGCCAGACGUCGGGGGGCUUGCCCUUCGGUGUCACACCUAACGGAUUAAGCAUUCCGCC